rnacentral:rRNA from 1 species
UACGUAGGGCGCAAGCGUUAUCCGGAAUUAUUGGGCGUAAAGAGCUCGUAGGCGGUUUGUCGCGUCUGCCGUGAAAGUCCGGGGCUCAACUCCGGAUCUGCGGUGGGUACGGGCAGACUAGAGUGAUGUAGGGGGAGACUGGAAUUCCUGGUGUAGCGGUGAAAUGCGUAGAUAUCUGGAGGAACACCGGUGGCGAAGGCGGCAUUCUGGACCGAAACUGACACUGAGGCGCGAAAGCCAGGGAGCAACGGG